GUGGGUGGAGACUCGCGGCCGCGUCGGGCUGCCGGCCAUCUUGUCAGUGCUUGCCAUCUCGGCUUUCGUGGGCGAGCGAGUUCCUCAGAGCUUAUUUUUCUUUGUAAAGGAUAUGGUGACCUAGUGCCCUGAUUACUCUGCAGUAAGCGGUGGACGUUUUUCUACUACUGAAUCAAAGAAGUCGCAGUCUCUGUCUUGUAACUCACACAUUGGUGAUGGGUGCGUAAACUACGGCAGCAUGGUCACCGAGGUGAUGGAAAUACGAGGUGUUGCGCGGUUUAUAGAGCCUUGGCGGUCAUCAGGGUAUCAAAGAAGGUUGCCGGAAGGGUGAUUGGGAGCAGGCGAGGUGGAGGAGAGGGUAUCUCCCUAAGGGUGCAAAAAGUGCAAGUCUUUGAGCCUGAGCACCUGAAAAAAAGGCUAGAGGUAGUAAGGUUGGAGCUGGUAGUGAAGGGGCUGAUGGCAACAGAUGAUGCUGAGGAGGCUGGCAAAGAUGACUUCUGGAGAUUCUCGAGCAGUCUGAGAAGUUGCGUUUUAUGCUGAAGUCCCUGGGUAGCAACCUAAGAGUUUUAAGAGGACAGUUAGAGAAUAACACAAAUUAAGAGUAUAGUUGCUUUAGAGUCCAGGUGCUUGGGAUCGCUUUCUACCGCCUAUUUGCAUGACUUGGGCAAGCCACUUAAACUUUCUCUGCCUGCAUUUAAAGCACAGUUCGUCAUAGAGAAAUAACUAGUAAGGUAAAUUACAUGUUCCUAUUAAAAGGAAAAAAUAAUAGCGGGUAUCCAUGAAGCAUUUGUGUGCCAGACAAGGUGUAAGUUUUACAUUACUUGUCUCAACAAACCUGUGAUGUAGGUGCCAUUGUUAUCACCCGGUUAAUACAGAUGAAAAAAAGGGAGCGCUUAAGGGAGUUGUAGGGAAUUCCCUCGUCGUCCAGUGGUUAGUGGACCCUUAAGAUCCUACAUGGCAUAAAUAAAUAGAAUUAUCUUAUUUUUUGUUUUAGGAAGAAUGAAUAAAAUGCUUUUCUGCAACUAAUGGCCUACUUCAGACCAGUUUGAUCUCUUAUCCAGGUUACUGUCACAUUCUCUGACAUGUCUCUCAGACUCCAAUCCACUGUUCUCACUAUUGAGCCAAAAUGUUUUAUAAAACUCAACUCUAACUCAGC